UACGUAGGCAGCGAGCGUUGUUCGGAGUUACUGGGCGUAAAGAGUGCGUAGGCGGUGCUCCAAGUCUGGUGUGAAAUCUCCCGGCUUAACCGGGAGGGUGCGCCGGAAACUGGGGUGCUGGAGUGUGGGAGAGGUAAGCGGAAUUCCCGGUGUAGCGGUGAAAUGCGUAGAGAUUAGGAAGAACACCAGUGGCGAAGGCGACUUACUGGACUGUAACUGACGCUGAGGCAUGAAAGCGUGGGGAGCAAACAGG
rnacentral:rRNA from 1 species